rnacentral:ncRNA from 1 species
GACGCUCUUCCGAUCUUUUGAUUCUUGCUUUUAUAUUUAAAUUUUAAAUUAUUUUAUAUGUAUUAUUUCUAUUCUUAAUGAUUUUUUAUCAGUAUUUAAUUUUGGUUAUAUUUAUUAGAAGAUAAAACCAGGAUUUUAAUUUUAUAAUUGACAAAAAUUGUGCCAGCUGUCGCGGUUACACAUUUAAUUUAAUUAAAUAUUUUUGGUAAAAUAUUAAUUCUUUAAUAUAUUAAUAUAAUUAAAUAUUUUUAGGUGAAAUUUUUAUAUUUUAUAUUUUUAUUGGUUGAUGAUUAUUAUAUAUUAAAAUUAUUAAUAAACUAGGAUUAGAUACCCUAUUAUAAUAAUUGUAAAUUUUCUUUAAAAUUAAUAGUUAUUUUCUUUAAAUUAAAAGAAUUUGGCGGUUAUUUAAUCUUUCUAGAGGAACCUGUUUUAUAAUUGAUAAUCCACGAUUAAUUCUACUUUAAUUAUAACUUAUAUAUCGCUGUCAUUGAAUGUUUUAUUAGAUUAUUUUCUUAAAUUUUUAUGAAUUUAAUGUUAGGUCAAGAUGUAGUAAUAUUAAAGUAAAAAUGGGUUACAUUUUUUGUAAAAAUGGAUUGAUUAAUGAAAUUGUUUUUCAUGAAAUUGGAUUUAGGUGUAAUUUUUUAUAAAUAUAAAUUUUGAUUUUAGUUCUAAAUAAUGUACACAUCGCCCGUCACUCUCAUUAUUAAGUUGGGAUAAGUCGUAACAAAGUAGGCCUACCGGAAGGUGGGCCUGGUUAAUUCGAGUUAAUUCAUUUAGUGAAGUUAUU